GCUGCGGCACAAGGGCUCAGAUUUACCCCAGUCCAGGGUACAGGGAUCCUGGGUGCCCUGCAGGGCGGAGACCUGGCUUGGCUGAAGUGCGCCCUCCACCCUGACCCCUGGUCAGGGUCGUCAGGGCUCUGCCCUCCCCUGGCCACUGUCCCUGCGCCUUAGUCCAGCUCUCUGCGUGAUGGGAGAAUCAGCUUCCAGGGCCCCCGGUGGCUAGAAGCCCACCCUGCGAGUCCCGCCCAGCAGGCCUCUGCUUCCGCUCUGCACCCCAGCCAUGAGCGCCCCCAGUUCUGAGCCUAGCACAGCAGGCUGGGGGCCAGGAAGCCGCUGUGGGCGGGGCUGCUGCUGGGGCGGCGGCAUCUCGGGGCAUCUGGCGGCCUAGGCCCUGCAGAGGCCAGUCAGGCUCCUUGGGCUGGGGGGGCACACCUGCCUCAUCCCCACCCCCAACGUGGCGCACAGGCCCAGGCUGAUGGCGCUGAGCUUGGAGAAUCCCCGAUUCUGAGAUAGCGACACGUCCCAGAGGCUUUGAGAACAAAGUGGUCCCUCGGGGCCUCAGUCCGGGCACAGAUGGAAAGGAGACUGGGUCCCAGGGGCCCACGAGCCCUCUGGAGUGGGCACUCCAGGCCUGAGGGUUGAGCCCUGGGUCGUGACCUUCCUCCAGCAGGAUUUCUCUGGGGAGGUGGGCCAGGGACCAGGGGCUGGUGCUGGAGCCUCCAGGGGGGCCCUGCCUCAGCAGAGGCUGCACGGCCCGUACCUCAGCUGCCUGCGUGCUGAUGUGUGACCCCUGAGUGUGGUCAGGGAGCCCGCCCUCUUUCCUUAAAAACCUACCACACUCCCGGAUGCCCAUCUCUGUGCUGCAGGCUGGGAAUGACCAAGACAGGUCCUUAAUUGGCACAUGACCUGGUCACAGGCGGUGGCUUGUGCUGAGGGCACAGCUGGGGCAGGGCGAGGACAGCCACGUGCCCUCCUGGAUGCCACUCGCUGGGCCAGAGGGGGCACAGGCUGUCUUGCCUCCAUGGCCCCAAUCCACCUGGAGACGUGCACGCAGCAGGGCAAGCGGUGCCCACAUUGCCAACCCUGAGGGC
rnacentral:lncRNA from 1 species